UACGUUUUACCUCACUUAGAUUAUUGUUGUUCAAUAUGGGGGAAACUGUAAUAACUUUCUAUUAGAUAGUUUACUAAAACUGCAAAAAAGGGCAGCAAGAAUAAUUUUAGACGAACAUGAUUACACCAAACCUUCAAGAGAAUUAUUUCACGAAUGUAACAUUGUGCCAAUCACACAAAGAAUACUUUAUCACAAAUCAUUACUAAUGUAUAAGGCAAAACAUGG
rnacentral:lncRNA from 1 species